GAUGAAGAACGUAGCGAAAUGCGAUACGUAAUGUGAAUUGCAAAUUCAGUGAAUCAUCGAGUCUUUGAACGCACAUUGCGCCCCCUGGUAUUCCGGGGGGCAUGCCUGUCCGAGCGUCAUUGCUGCCCUCAAGCACGCCUUGUGUGUUGGGCCCCGUCCUCCGAUCCCGGGGGACGGGCCCGAAAGGCAGCGGCGGCACCGCGUCCGGUCCUCGAGCGUAUGGGGCUUUGUCACCCGCUCUGUAGGCCCGGCCGGCGCUUGCCGAUCAACCCAAAUUUUUAUCCAGGUUGACCUCGGAUCAGGUAGGGAUACCCGCUGAACUUAAGCAUAUCAAUAAGCGGAGGA
rnacentral:misc_RNA from 1 species